CCCUACGGGGGAAAGCGGGGGACCUUCGGGCCUCGCGCUAUCAGAUGAGCCUGUAUUAGCUAGUUGGUAGGGUAAAGGCCUACCAAGGCGACGAUCUAGUCUGAGAGGACGAUCAGCCACACUGGGACUGAGACACGGCCCACACGGGAGGCAGCAGUGGGGAAUAUUGGACAAUGGGCGCAAGCGAGCAAUACCGCGUGUGUGAAGAAGGCCCUAGGGUUGUAAAGCAUUGGGGAGGAAAACCUGCCGGUCAAUACCCGGCAGCUUGACUUACCUAAGAAGCACCGGCUAACUCCGUGCCGGCAGCCGCGGUUACGGAGCGAGCGUUAAUCGGAAUUACUGGGCGUAAAGCGUGCGGGCGGUUUAAGUCAGAUGUGAAAGCCCCGGGCUUAACCUGGGAAGGCAUUUGUGGUUAACUAGAGUUUAAU
rnacentral:rRNA from 1 species